ensembl:snRNA U4 U4 spliceosomal RNA
AGCUUUGCGCAGUAGCAGUAUCGUAGCCAAUGAGGUUUCUCCGAGGCAUGAUUAUUGCUAAUUAAAAACUUUUCCCAAUACCCCACCAUGACGACUUGAAAUAUAGUUGGCAUUGGCAAUUUUCUGCAGUCUCUAUGGAGA